GUUUGAUUAUGGCGUCAGGAUGAACGCUGGCGGCGUGCCUAACACAUGCAAGUCGAACGGAGUAUCGAUGAAGCCUAGCGAUUUGAUACGUAGUGGCGGACGGGUGAGUAACGCGUGGAUAACCUGCCUCAUACAUUGGGAUAACAGUUAGAAAUGACUGCUAAUACCGAAUAAGCCCACAGCACCGCAUGAUGCAGGGGGAAAGAUUUUAUCGGUAUGAGAUGGAUCCGCGUUUGAUUAGCUGGUUGGCGGGGUAACGGCCCACCAAGGCGAUGAUCAAUAGCCGACCUGAGAGGGUGACCGGCCACAUUGGGACUGAGACACGGCCCAAACUCCUACGGGAGGCAGCAGUGGGGAAUAUUGCACAAUGGGCGCAAGCCUGAUGCAAGCGACGCCGCGUGAGUGAAGAAGUAUUUCGGUAUGUAAAGCUCUAUCAGCAGGGAAGAUAAUGACGGUACCUGACUAAGAAGCUCCCGGCUAAAUACGUGCCAGCCGCCGC
rnacentral:rRNA from 1 species